rnacentral:lncRNA from 1 species
GGUUCUUUACAUACGGCCUUCCCAGCAUAAAAAGGCUUCAGCUGCGCCUCUUAUCGAUCAUUGAUACCCAGCUGUCAGUGUCUUCCCGUUUCGUUGACGGAAUAUACUGACGACUGGGUAUUGUGAUCACCUAUGGUGAUCAUAGGUGAUCACUAUCUGUGGCGGUUCUUUUGGACGCCCGCCAUUGGUAGCUUUUAGGCUUUCCAUGGGCAGCGCCAGUGGUGGUGGUUAUCACCGCCACUGUUGAUGGACCAUCAGUGGCAGUGACUUUUUUCAGGACACUAUUCACCGCCACUGGUGGCCCUCGUGGAUGCCUCGAGAGGCCUCCAGUGGCGGUGUGUUUUUUGGUCCAUUUCAACUGCCACUGGAGGGGGAUCACGGAUGGGGUUUUCUGUAGUAGUGCAGCACGCGGUUGCGCAUGCCCUUAACCACCUCCCCUUCCAUGCGUGGCCUCCGGAUGUUGGCCCUAAUCCUUCUGUCGUAUAGUUGGCCUUGUCCUUUUCUCUUUUCCUUUUGUCGGGGUUUUCCCUUUUUUUCGUUUUUGUUUUCUUGUUGUCUCCGUGUACCCGAUGUGUUCAAGAAAAAACUACGCAAAGUCGAGUUAAAAAUUCUCGGUUACUAGCCACCAAAUUGAGCACAAAAAUUUGAUGCAUCCUAAGUCCUAACCAAGUACACCCUGGUUCCUAAAUUGAAGAAGUCCUAGCUAGAUUUGUCCUAGAUCAAACUUAUUAAAAUUUCACCCGCGAAAAAAACUUCUUAAAAUUUGACUGAGUUUAUAAAAAAAUAUACUAACAUCAACUCUAAACUAGUUUUAUUAAAUCUCGAUG